rnacentral:rRNA from 1 species
CGUGAAGAUGCGAGCUAUUUGCGGUUAGACGGAAAGACCCCGUGCACCUUUACUAUUAUUUUAAGUUGUAAAAUUAAAAUUUGUGCGUAGCGUAGGUGGGAGCGAAAGCAAUAAUGAAACACCACCCUUAAAUUUUAGUUUUACUUAAUUAUUCAAGACAGCUUAUGAAAGGUAGUUUGACUGGGGCGGUCGCCUCCCAAAAAGUAACGGAGGCGUACAAAGGCGAACUCAGAUAAUUAAAAAUUGGAGAGUGUAAUGGCAUAUGUUCGCUUGACUGUAAGAUUGACAAAUCGAACAGGGAUUUAAUACUAGUCGGUCAUAGUGAUCCGGUGAUUCUGUGUGGAAAGAUCAUCGCUCAACGAAUAAAAGGUACGCCGGGGAUAACAGGCUGAUGGUUUCUGAGAGUUCAUAUCGACGAGACCGUUUGGCACCUCGAUGUCGGCUCAUCACAUCCUGGGGCUGAAGCAGGUCCCAAGGGUUUGGCUGUUCGCCAAUUAAAGUGGUACGUGAGCUGGGUUUAAAACGUCGUGAGACAGUUUGGUCCCUAUCUUUCGUGGGCGUAGGAUAUUUGAGAGGCUCUGUUACUAGUACGAGAGGACCGUAAUGGACGAACCUCUGGUGUUCCAGUUGUCGCGCCAGCGGCAUAGCUGGGUAGCUAUGUUCGGAAAGGAUAACCGCUGAAAGCAUAUAAGCGGGAAGCCUCCCUCAAGAUAAGAUAUCCCCU